AGAGAUACUGUGUUGGACAAGGAGGACACCUGGCCUCAGUGCACGGCCAAGUGGAAUAUACAUUUCUCCAGAAGCUCACUAAGACCACCCGUCCAUUCUGGAUAGGACUGACAGACUGUCAGAGGGAGGGUUACUGGAUUUGGUCAGAUGGAUCUAAACUGGACUUUAACUACUGGAAUAUUUGGGAACCCAACAAUUUGAAUAGAAACGAAGACUGUGUGCAUGCAAACUGGCCUGUGCAGAAAAAGUGGAAUGAUGUCCCCUGCUCAAAUCGGUACAGAUUUGUCUGUGCCAAGCUUCAUGAAGGAGAGAAGUGAGUUGCUGGCGAUGACAAGAAAAGCAGCUCUGACCAGUCAGAAGCAUGCGUCUUUAAAGCUUUGAUUUUUCAUCCUUGAUUAGUUAUCUCUGUUACCUCUGUUCCUCAAAUAAAGCC